rnacentral:lncRNA from 1 species
CGGUUUCCGAAACGUUAUUCAAAUCUUCGAUCAUCUAAUCGAGCUGUUAGAUUUGAUCAACUGUUAACCAGUGACGAGUUUCUCAAACGUCGAUCAUCUUAAAAUUAUAUGAUCGUAGAAAAUCGAUUAUCUGACAUACGAUUUGGUAUCGAUACUGUCACAAUCGGCUGUCAUCCUUCAAAAUUUCAUUUUAUAACCAAAAAAUUUCAAUCCAUAGUAAAUAACUACAUAAUUUAUAUAAUUAAAAAAUAUAUUAAAAAUGAGCAAUACCAACGGAAAUCCUCCACGCAAAAAUUAUACUGAGAGAGAGAGAGAAAUGUUUGCUGUUGGAAAUAAUUGGAAAAUACAAGCAUAUUAAAUUGAAAACAAAUAAUGUACCAAUGCUAUGUCCACCAACCAAAACAAUGAAACCUGGGAAAAAAUAGCGCUGAAUUUCCCAGAACUCCCAAGCAGCUGAACACUGCAUAUAUAAACUUAAAAAGGGUCACUAGCCAAAAAGUAGCAGAGGAAAAUAUUCAAAAAUAUAAUGAGCAGAAGGUUUUGGACCAGUUGAAGAGAGACCAAACUGCGGACAAAAAAGACAUACUUGCAACAGGUGGUGGCACAUUUAGGCCUCGUCUCACAGAUGUAGGGGCACAAAUGUUGAGUUUGAUUGGCAAUCAAAUCCAACCUUUACCCAACAGUUGUGACAGUGCAUCUGGUUUCUUCACAUCUGUUGCACAAGACAGUCAAGUGGAAGUAGAUUACCUACAAUUGGAAGACACAUAGCAGACGUCCAAUGUACCCUCUACUUCCACUGUGCUGCUCAGUACACCCACGACAACUGCUGUCCUGCCCAAGAAGACAGCCAAGAUGUCUCAGGCUCGUUCAAAAAAUAAAAAAGUAAAAGAUGUAGGGAGCGAAACCCUUAAUGUAUCUUUUACAAAAAAAAUUGAAACAGCAAGACUAGAAAAAAGAAGUAAGAUAGUAUUUUUCAACAAGAAAAAAAGAAAUUUUAGAAGUAGAGCUUCAAAUAAAAAAAUUCGAUCUCAAUAAAUUAUUCGGUAAUAGUGGUUAGGUAUGUACCUAAUAAAGUAAUUUUAAAUAAAAAUUGUAAUUUCUUUAAAUAAUAAAAUUAAUAAAAAAUG